UCAAUAUUGUGCCCCCCAAAUUCAUGUCCAUCUAGAACCGCAGAGUGUGACCUUAUUUGGAAAUGGAUGUUUUUUGUUUUUUGUAGAUGGAAUUACUUAAGUUUUCAGAUGAGACCACACGGGACUAGGAUGAACUGGAAAUCCAGCAUCCUUAGAAGAGAUGGAAAGAACAUGGAGAGACCCAGAGAAGACAGCAAUGAGGAUGGAGGAGACACGGAGUGAGGCACCUACAAGCCAGAGAUGUUGGGGGUUACCUACAACUGGCAGCCGGAGAAGGGCUGCAGCGUGCCUUCUCCCUCAGAGGCCCCAGAAAGAACCAACCGUGCUGACAGCUUGAUUCCAAACUGCUAGCCUCCGCAAGUGUGUGAAAAUAAGUUCCUGCUGCUUUAAGCCUUUGAGUUGGUGGUGCUUUGUUACUGUGGUCCUAGGAAACCAACACAGCCUCCUCCCCUCUUUUGAGCUUUGCCAGGAAGGACACUUUGACCCUUGGACUUGUUUCCUCAGAAGAUGCAAUCUUGUAAAACCUUUACGAUCUGCUUAAAAUAAUUUCUAUCAUGGUUGGCACGGUCACGAUAAAAGAAAUUUUCACGCAUUGAGGUAUGGGGAAGUCGUUCUGGCUCACACGAGUGGACUUGAAUCUUAUGCUAACAGCCUGUUUGUGGCCUCUUAAACAUACAUGGUACAUCUGCCUUAAUUAUUAAAGAAAAGGGUGCAUUGACCAGAUGUAAAGAAUGUCCAUGUUAAAAAUAAAGAUUAGGUACCUCCCUCCUGAGACACCAAAGCUGGACUUCCUUCAAUGAUAAGACUCCCAUCCUGGGUGCUAAGGCCGUACUGACUCCCUGUGUAUGUGCUGAUCUGUUUGUUUUUUUGUUUUGUUUUGUUUUUUUAAACCUUGAAGGAAUGUAUCCCUGACUCGUUGCAUGUUCUUUGUUCUGACAAGAUAUAAAACUGUGCCAAAACCCACACUGCUCUGGAGCAUUUCCUCAGAGUUGUUGGAGAGGCUGUCUUCCAGGUUAGAGUCCUCAGUUUGACGUCAGUAAAACUCAUUUCUAUUCCCAUUAUAGUUUGGUUGUGGAUUAUUUGCAUCAACAGUUAUAUAGCAAAGUGAUUUUAAAUAAAUAUAUUAGAUAUGCUAUUAAAGUACUUAGAAACAAUCUUCAAAAAUAUCAAGAUGGGAAUUUCCUCGUGGUCUAGGCAUUAAGGAUUGGACAUUGUUGUGACUCAGGUCCAACCCCUGGCCCAGGAACAUUGCAUGCCCCAGGUGCAGCCCCCCCAAAAAAAAUCAAGAUAAAUUUCCCUAUUUCACAAGUGAUGCAUGUCACUUCAUUUGCUUCAGAUUAAUCCAUAAGAACACAAAUGAUUUACUGACUCAAACUGAAAUAAUAUACAUCAUUUUAAAGUAUUUAAAAUAUAUAUUUUAAAGUACAGAGAAAAAUUACCUAGUGAUAUCUAUGGCAUCAAGAAUAGAAAAAAAAAAAAACUUGCCAUUUUCAUUCUUGGAUGUUUAGAAUUUCUGCAGUUGAAUUGUGUGAAAUGUCCUGGUUUGGAUUUUCAAAUCAUGAUGUUUGAUAUCUAGAUGGCAACAUGAGAGAUUUCCAGCUGCAAUUUGCCAUCACUUCUCAAACAAUACACUGUAGGGGGGCGGGGGACAGUCUUUAUCCCAAUAAACAGCAGCUACACUGGACAGAACAAGUGGCAGCUCUUCCGGAUGAGUUUGGAUCAGAUGAAUGUAACUUCGAGAUCCAAUGGCGAUCAUCUUGAGGAGAAUCAUCACCAUGAGGUCCUUGUUAAUUUGAAUCACCAGUGUCACCUAUCCUUCCUGUCAUUCAUGACUCAUUAACGGCACAGCAAGCAGAGAUAGUACCAAGCAGGGAAAAUGAUUUAGGACUAUUCAAUGGGCAGUACCACUCUGAUGACCAGAGUGGGUCAUCUGUGAGAUGAACUGGGUAUCUGAGUGGUAAGAACACCAACUAUUUUCCUGUUCAGUACCCAUCUUGAGAUCUUUGAAACCAUUUUAUCUAUCUAUCCAUCCAUCCAUCCAUCCAUCCAUCCAACGAUCCAUCUAUCUAUGCCGUGCCCAUGGCAUGUGGAAAUUCCCGGGCUAGGGACUGAACACAGCAAUGGCCAUGCCAAAUCCUUAACUGCUUGGCCACCACAGAACUCCUCAAAACCAUUUCAGAGGGAGAAAUGUUUAAACAAUUAUUUUGUUUUCUGAUUCUCAGCAAUGCAUUUCACCACCUUGAAGAAAAUGCACUUGAGGACCACCUCUGCCAACGGGCAGUAACUUCCCUGUUACAGUGUUGUGGUGUCUGGCCUCGUGUCUGAGAGGGGGAGCUUGGGGCACAGUGAGCUUCAGAGAGCUUGAACCACGGGUUGGGGAUGUGCCCCUGGGCCAGAGCCGUGAGGUCUUCACUUUGUUAUCAUUUCAGCCUCUCACCUCACUGGACACCAUUCAGAGGGUGUUUGGGAUAAAGAUGCCAAUGUGUCUUGUCGGUAUCCCACACAGGUUUCUAAAGGAACCUCAACUUUAGAACCGACUCCGUUUCCUCUCUGUCCUUCCCCCUUCAGCAUCUGGCCGGUUAUGGAGCACACGUUUGAACUUGCCAGCAGCUCGUCUAUGUUUCUGCAGCGCAGGAGGGGCCGCCAUCUUGUCAGCCAAGCGUGGGCAGACACGUGACAGAACGGAAUUAUGAAGACUUCAGUCAUUUGCAUUGCUCAGACCUCACCCAAAAGUUCUUGUGAAGGGAGGAGUCCUUGUUUCUUUUUUUUCUUUGUUUUUUUUGCUAUUUCUUGGGCCACUCCUGCGGCAUAUGGAGGUUCCCAAAUAAUUAUUUUCAUGUUGUUUUCUUCUUUUUUUAGGGCCACAUAUGCAGCAUCUGGAAGUUCCCAGGCUAGGAGUUGAAUCAGAGCUGCAGCUGCCAGCCACAUCCACAGCAAUGCCAGAUUGGCAGCCUAUACCACAGCUUGCAGCAAUGCCGGAUCCUUCACCCACUGAGUGAGGCUAGGGAUUGAACCCCACAUCCUCAGGGAUACUAGUCAGUUCUUGACCUGCUAAGCCACCAUGGGAACUCCUAUUUUCAGAUUUUGAUGGAAAUUGUGUGUAUUUACAGAUAGGAAAGAAAUAAGCAGCAUCAAGUAUCCUUGAAACACUGCCUGCAAGCCCAUUUAUUAGGUACGAGAACUGUGGUUGAAGAUACAUAAUCUGAACAAUGGUUUUUUUAGUUGAUACUGUGACAAUUUAAGGUCAUUCCCAAUAGAAAGCAAAUGGCUAAGUCACCCAGCCAGCCCUAGUGGUCAGUUCUGAAUCUUCAGAAUAAAUCUCCACACUGUAAUCAGCAUCCCACACGUUUUCCACUGAGCUUAUGAAAUCCAAGAAAGUUUUCUUUAAAAGUUAUUUUUACCAAAUAAUAAAUCAAAGGCAUACAGAGGUUUCAAAUUCAGACAUUUCCAUCACAUAAUUACUUCAAAUCACCCUCUCUCUUAUCCAUUCUAACCUGAAUUUUAGAGUGCAGUGUUUAUGAUAUAACUAUGUAUCUCUUGGCAUAGAUAUCUCAAGAUUAUUACCAUAGACAUUUAGUGGAACUGGUCCAAUUUUAAACUGAAAACGGUGCUUUAAAAGAGAUUUUUAAAUUCUGGUACCCCUGUUUAGGAAAUAAUUACAAUUCAAUAAAAAAAAGUCAUAAUAUUAAGACAGUGACAGAGUUCCUUUGGAGAUUCUUGACUAGAUUUCUUCCUUAAAAAGAAAAAAAAAAGAAAAAACAAUAAACAAGAAGAGUUUAAACUUGUUUCAAAGUGUA
rnacentral:lncRNA from 1 species